rnacentral:pre_miRNA from 1 species
AUUUCUACUUUAACAAUAGUUCUGACCUUUGAGUAAAAUUUGAUAAGGGCUAUUUGUUGGGGUAGUUUUA